rnacentral:rRNA from 1 species
UACGUAGGGUGCAAGCGUUAAUCGGAAUUACUGGGCGUAAAGCGUGCGCAGGCGGUUUGUUAAGUCAGCUGUGAAAUCCCCGGGCUCAACCUGGGAAUGGCAGUUGAGACUGGCAGGCUGGAGUGUGUCAGAGGGGGGUAGAAUUCCACGUGUAGCAGUGAAAUGCGUAGAGAUGUGGAGGAAUACCGAUGGCGAAGGCAGCCCCCUGGGAUAACACUGACGCUCAUGCACGAAAGCGUGGGGAGCAAACAGG